AGAACGAACGCUGGCGGCAGGCUUAACACAUGCAAGUCGAACGGUUGUAGCAAUACAGCAGUGGCAGACGGGUGAGUAACACGUGGGAACCUUCCUAGGGGUACGGAACAACUCAGGGAAACUUGAGCUAAUACCGUAUACGUCCGUGAGGAGAAAGAUUUAUCGCCCCUAGACGGGCCCGCGUAGGAUUAGGUAGUUGGUGAGGUAACGGCUCACCAAGCCUACGAUCCUUAGCUGAUCUGAGAGGAUGAUCAGCCACACUGGGACUGAGACACGGCCAGACUCCUACGGGAGGCAGCAGUGGGGAAUCUUGGACAAUGGGCGCAAGCCUGAUCCAGCCAUGCCGCGUGAGUGAAGAAGGCCUUGGGUGUAAAGCUCUUUUACCAGGGACGAUAAUGACGGUACCUGGAGAAUAAGCCCGCAAACUUCGUGCCAGCAGCCGC
rnacentral:rRNA from 1 species